rnacentral:rRNA from 1 species
CCUACGGGAGGCAGCAGUGAGGAAUAUUGGUCAAUGGGCGCGAGCCUGAACCAGCCAAGUCGCGUGAGGGAAGACGGACCCAUGGAUUGUAAACCUCUUUUGUCGGGGAGCAAAAGACGCCACGCGUGGCGUUCCGAGAGUACACGAAGAAAAAGCAUCGGCUAACCCAGGGCCAGCAGCCGCGGUAAUACGGAGGAUGCGAGCGUUAUCCGGAUGUAUUGGGUUAAAAGGGUGCGCAGGCGGAAGAUCAAGUCAGCGGUAAAAUUGAGAGGCUCAACCUCUUCGAGCCGUUGAAACUGGUUUUCUUGAGUGAGCGAGAGGUAUGCGGAAUGCGUGGUGUAGCGGUGAAAUGCAUAGAUAUCACGCAGAACUCCGAUUGCGAAGGCAGCAUACCGGCGCUCAACUGACGCUCAUGCACGAAAGUGUGGGUAUCGAACAGGAUUAGAUACCCUUGUAGUC